UAAUACGAAGGGCCCGAGCGUUAAUCGGAAUCACUGGGCUUAAAGCGUACGUAGGCGGGCACGCAGGCGCUUUGUGAAAUCCCUCGGCUCAACCGAGGAACUGCUUGGCGAACCGCGUGCCUUGAGGCAAGUAGAGGCGGUCGGAACGCUCGGUGGAGUGGUGAAAUGCGUUGAUAUCGAGCGGAACGCCGAAGGUGAAGACAGGCCGCUGGGCUUGUUCUGACGCUGAGGUACGAAAGCGUGGGGAGCGAACGGGAUUAGAUACCCCGGUAGUCCACGCCGUAAACGAUGUGCACUAGAUCGAGGGGGUUCUGACACCACUCUCGGUCGAAGCAAAAGUGUUAAGUGCACCGCCUGGGGAGUACGGUCGCAAGGCUA
rnacentral:rRNA from 1 species